UUAGCUCCUAUUUGUAUGGAAUGGGAUCGUUUGCCUACGUUUGCCGCUAGGGGCGCUGUUCCAACUGCAUACAAAUUUGGCUUA
rnacentral:pre_miRNA from 1 species